rnacentral:rRNA from 1 species
CCUACGGGUGGCAGCAGUGGGGAAUAUUGGACAAUGGGCGAAAGCCUGAUCCAGCCAUGCCGCGUGUGUGAAGAAGGCCUUCGGGUUGUAAAGCACUUUCAGUGGGGAAGAAAGCCUUGGGGCUAAUACCCUCGAGGAAGGACAUCACCCACAGAAGAAGCACCGGCUAACUCCGUGCCAGCAGCCGCGGUAAUACGGAGGGUGCGAGCGUUAAUCGGAAUUACUGGGCGUAAAGCGCGCGUAGGCGGUCUGAUAAGCCGGUUGUGAAAGCCCCGGGCUCAACCUGGGAACGGCAUCCGGAACUGUCAGGCUAGAAUGCAGGAGAGGAAGGUAGAAUUCCCGGUGUAGCGGUGAAAUGCGUAGAGAUCGGGAAGAAUACCAGUGGCGAAGGCAGCCUUCUAGACUGACACUGACGCUGAGGUGCGAAAGCGUGGGUAGCAAACAGGAUUAGAUACCCCUGUAGUC